rnacentral:rRNA from 1 species
CAGAACGAACGCUGGCGGCGUGCCUAACACAUGCAAGUCGAACGAGAAAGGGGCUUCGGCCCUGAGUAAAGUGGCGCACGGGUGAGUAACACGUAGGUAACCUGCCUCUAAGAUUGGGAUAACAUGUCGAAAGACGUGCUAAUACCGAAUAAGACCACAGUUUCUUCGGAAACAGGGGUCAAAGGUAGCCUCUAUUUAUAAGCAAUCACUUAGAGAUGGGCCUGCGUACCAUUAGCUAGUUGGUAGGGUAACGGCCUACCAAGGCAAAGAUGGUUAGCUGGUCUGAGAGGAUGAUCAGCCACACUGGAACUGAGACACGGUCCAGACUCCUACGGGAGGCAGCAGUGGGGAAUAUUGCGCAAUGGGCGAAAGCCUGACGCAGCAACGCCGCGUGAGUGAUGAAGGCCUUCGGGUCGUAAAGCUCUGUCGGAGGGAACGAAUGUUUCUGAGGUUAACAGCCUCAGGAAGUGACGGUACCCUCAAAGGAAGCACCGGCUAACUCUGUGCCAGCAGCCGCGGUAA